rnacentral:rRNA from 1 species
AAGCGUGCUGUUGGAGUGCACGUCCAAGCAGUGAGAUUGAGUGUUAGGCAAAUCCGGCACUCUUAAGAUUGAGCUGUGAUGGGGAGAGGAACUUGUUCCUCGAGUCGUUGAUUUCACACUGCCGAGAAAAGCCUCUAGCUAGAAUAACGGUGCCCGUACCGCAAACCGACACAGGUAGUCAAGAUGAGAAUUCUAAGGUGAGCGAGCGAACUCUCGUUAAGGAACUCGGCAAAAUGACCCCGUAACUUCGGGAGAAGGGGUGCUCUUUGAGGUUCACGCUUCGAAGAGCCGCAGUGAAUAGGCCCAAGCGACUGUUUAUCAAAAACACAGGUCUCUGCUAAACCGUAAGGUGACGUAUAGGGGCUGACGCCUGCCCGGUGCUGGAAGGUUAAGAGGAGUGGUUAGCGCAAGCGAAGCUACGAAUCGAAGCCCCAGUAAACGGCGGCCGUAACUAUAACGGUCCUAAGGUAGCGAAAUUCCUUGUCGGGUAAGUUCCGACCCGCACGAAAGGCGUAACGAUUUGGGCACUGUCUCAACGAGAGACUCGGUGAAAUCAUAGUACCGGUGAAGAUGCCGGUUACCCGCGACAGGACGGAAAGACCCCGUGGAGCUUUACUGUAGCCUGAUAUUGAAAUUCGGUACAGUUUGUACAGGAUAGGUAGGAGCCUUAGAAGCGUGAGCGCUAGCUUACGUGGAGGCAUUGGUGGGAUACUACCCUAAUUGUAUUGGAUUUCUAACCCGCAGCACUUAUCGUGCUGGGAGACAGUGUCAGGCGGGCAGUUUGACUGGGGCGGUCGCCUCCUAAAGAGUAACGGAGGCGCUCAAAGGUUCCCUCAGAAUGGUUGGAAAUCAUUCAUAGAGUGUAAAGGCAUAAGGGAGCUUGACUGCGAGACCUACAAGUCGAGCAGGGUCGAAAGACGGACUUAGUGAUCCGGUGGUUCCGCAUGGAAGGGCCAUCGCUCAACGGAUAAAAGCUACCCCGGGGAUAACAGGCUUAUCUCCCCCAAGAGUUCACAUCGACGGGGAGGUUUGGCACCUCGAUGUCGGCUCAUCGCAUCCUGGGGCUGUAGUCGGUCCCAAGGGUUGGGCUGUUCGCCCAUUAAAGCGGUACGCGAGCUGGGUUCAGAACGUCGUGAGACAGUUCGGUCCCUAUCCGUCGUGGGCGUAGGAAAUUUGAGAGGAGCUGUCCUUAGUACGAGAGGACCGGGAUGGACAUACCUCUGGUGUACCAGUUGUCGUGCCAACGGCAUAGCUGGGUAGCUAUGUAUGGACGGGAUAAGUGCUGAAAGCAUCUAAGCAUGAAGCCCCCCUCGAGAUGAGAUUUCCCAACUUCGGUUAUAAGAUCCCUCAAAGAUGAUGAGGUGAAUAGGUUCGAGGUGGAAGCGUAGCGAUACGUGGAGCUGACGAAUACUA